rnacentral:rRNA from 1 species
GACGAACGCUGGCGGCGUGCUUAACACAUGCAAGUCGAACGGAAAGGCCUCUUUCGGGGGGUACUCGAGUGGCGAACGGGAGAGUAACACGUGAGUAACCUGCCCUUGACUUUGGGAUAACUUCAGGAAACUGGGGCUAAUACCGGAUAGGAGCUCCUGCUGCAUGGUGGGGGUUGGAAAGUUUCGGCGGUUGGGGAUGGACUCGCGGCUUAUCAGCUUGUUGGUGGGGUAGUGGCUUACCAAGGCUUUGACGGGUAGCCGGCCUGAGGGGGUGACCGGCCACCUUGGGACUGGGAUACGGCCCAGACUCCUACCGGGGGCAGCAGGGGGGAAUAUUGCACAAUGGGUGGAAGCCUGAUGCAGCAACGCCGUGUGCGGGAUGACGGCCUUCGGGUUGGAAACCGCUUUCGCUCAUGACGAAGCUUUGUGUGACGGUAGUGGGUAAAGAAGCACCGGCUAACUACGUG